UAGGGAAUCUUCGGCAAUGGACGGAAGUCUGACCGAGCAACGCCGCGUGAGUGAAGAAGGUUUUCGGAUCGUAAAGCUCUGUUGUUAGAGAAGAACGUUGGUAGGAGUGGAAAAUCUACCAAGUGACGGUAACUAACCAGAAAGGGACGGCUAACUACGUGCCAGCAGCCGCGGUAAUACGUAGGUCCCGAGCGUUGUCCGGAUUUAUUGGGCGUAAAGCGAGCGCAGGCGGUUCUUUAAGUCUGAAGUUAAAGGCAGUGGCUUAACCAUUGUACGCUUUGGAAACUGGAGGACUUGAGUGCAGAAGGGGAGAGUGGAAUUCCAUGUGUAACGGUGAAAUGCGUAGAUAUAUGGAGGAACACCGGUGGCGAAAGCGGCUCUCUGGUCUGUAACAGACGCUGAGGCUCGAAAGCGUGGGGAGCAAACAGG
rnacentral:rRNA from 1 species